GGCCAGUUAGCUCGAUUGGUUAGAGCAUUGUGCUAAUAAUGCAAAGGUUGGGGGUUUGAAACCCGUACUGACCA
rnacentral:tRNA from 1 species